rnacentral:lncRNA from 1 species
CUGUGCUAGUGCUUGACAGUGGCCAUGUAUGUCACAGCAAAACUGCUCACCUCAUGGCUGGAAAACAAAAAAGUAGAAAGAGGAGGGGGCUAGGGCCUCACAAUCUACUUCAAGGACAUGGCCCCGGUAACUGAAGAGCUCCUGUCAGGCACCACCAGUGUCCGUUAGCAUCAAACUGGGAACUGAGCUAUUGCGCAUGGGCCUGUGGUAGAUGUCGCAAAUUCAAGCUACAGCACUCAUCACAUGAUGCUGAGUAAAGCAAGACAGGUAGGAAGGGCCAGGAAGGAGUGUCUCCUUAAGAGCCUCCUCAUGGAAACAUGAAAAGUGGGGACUAAAUGUUCCUCCCUUACAGCAAAAAAGACCGAUGAAUCCCUGGAACCACAAUAUGCAGUGAGCCAAGAGAAUGAUGUAGGGACUUGGCUCUGCAGGGACUAGGAGCAUGUCCACCUCUGAAAUCCUCCGUCCAAGCACCACAGUGAUGUGCCAAAAUUAUGAUGAUGACUUCACACCUCAGCGAAUUCACAUCUGCAAGGAGAGAGAACAAUUUGCAACUGAAUCCAGCCUCACUCAUGCGAUCCCCAAAUUUCUCCUUGGUUAUCAGCCACUCUGGAGACUGCUGGGUAAAUCCAAGUUUUGUCUUAAUAAAUGUACACAUGAUAUGAUAUGAUA